CAGUAGCCGCGGUAAUACGAGGGGGGCAAGCGUUGUUUGGAUUUAUUGGGCGUAAAGGGUGCGUAGGCGGUUUGGCAAGUCUCGUGUGAAAUCUAUGGGCUCAACCCAUAGCCUGCACGAGAAACUACCGGGCUUGAGUAUUGGAGAGGUGAGUGGAAUUUCCGGUGUAGCGGUGAAAUGCGUAGAUAUCGGAAGGAACACCUGUGGCGAAAGCGGCUCACUGGACAAUAACUGACGCUGAUGCACGAAAGCUAGGGGAGCAAACAGGAUUAGAUACCCGGGUAGUCCCUGUCUCUUAUAC
rnacentral:rRNA from 1 species